GGUCUGAGAGGAUGAUCCGCCACACUGGGACUGAGACACGGCCCAGACUCCUACGGGAGGCAGCAGUGGGGAAUAUUGGACAAUGGGCGCAAGCCUGAUCCAGCCAUGCCGCGUGUGUGAAGAAGGCCUUUUGGUUGUAAAGCACUUUAAGCGAGGAGGAGGCUCCUUUAGUUAAUACCUAAAGUGAGUGGACGUUACUCGCAGAAUAAGCACCGGCUAACUCUGUGCCAGCAGCCGCGGUAAUACAGAGGGUGCGAGCGUUAAUCGGAUUUACUGGGCGUAAAGCGUGCGUAGGCGGCUUUUUAAGUCGGAUGUGAAAUCCCUGAGCUUAACUUAGGAAUUGCAUUCGAUACU
rnacentral:rRNA from 1 species